CAUUUCCUUUCUUCUUCUGGUUCUCGGGCACCGAGGAAAAGCAGACCACGGUGGGGACUGGGGAGAACUGGUCAAAAGAAAAAAGACCUCGCAGGGGUGAGGAGAGCUCUCUGACCUCGCAUGGCGGCGGCGGUGGCGGACCUCGUCUGAUCGUGCUCCAGGAUUCUGUACCUAGACUGCCUUUGGCGGGCUAGAUUGUGGUUACUAUGGUCACUGAGGAAGCAGAAUCAAAUAAGCGCCAAAAGGAGGGAUGCAUCAUAAACUGCCUCCCAAGUGAUCUAAUUGAGCAGGUAUUUUUUAGGCUUCCAGUGAGCACUCUGUUGACGUGCACUGGUGUCUGCAAGCAAUGGAAAAAAUUCAUCCGCGAUCCCCGGUUUAUCACAUCGCACCUCCAGCACGCGCCCCGAUAUGCCCUCCUAUUUUUUCCGCAAGAGUCGAUUUCAUGCAAUCCCUACCCUAGUGAUGCUAUCCUGAUUGAUGAAGCCUGGUCACAUUCGACACAUGCAGUGCCAGUGAUUGGGCCUGAUGAUUUCCUUUUUGGUUCAUGCAAUGGGCUUCUUGGGUUAUACACAAAGAUGUCAACUAUCAAAAUAGCUAACUUUGCUACUGGUCAGUGCCUGCAUCUUGAGAAACCUAUUAAGAACUUGAAAGGUGAUCACUUCUCUCUAUACAGCUUUGGAUUUCACCCAGUGACAAAACAAUAUAAGGUUGCACAUUUCCUUGGUGAUUCCAUUGAGGGUCACAGCCAAAAUAACGACAAAUUCAGUAUCAUUCAAGUUUACACGCUUGGUGAUGAGAGCUGGAAAGAUAUUAGAACUCCAGAAGCUCUAAGCUUGAAAUGUGUGAGAAAUUCUGGAGUGGUCAAUCUUGAUGGAACAAUAUAUUGGCUGACUGAAGAUAUUAUAGCUAGCUGGAAGUAUGCUAUUAUGUCCUUCGAUCUCGGUGACGAAAGUUUUAAACGGAUACAACUGCCAGCAACACUCGAAGAUUGUGCACAUGACGGCCCUCCUAUAUACUGGAUCAGAGAGAUAGAUAGGAAGAUUUGCUUAGUAACUAUUCAAUCCAGUCAUUAUUUGACCAGAAGGCUUCAUGGUAACCUGCUGAUCUGGACACUUGACGACAAGAUGGGGCAAAGGUGGAGUCAGAAAUACAAUAUUCAAUACUCACCGUCACCAGAUUACAUUCUGGGUCCAAAUUUGGUUCACAGGGAUAAGAUCAUGUUGCAACACCGUGACUGUAAACUAUAUUCAUAUGAGUUGCUCGGGGACGACUCUGAGACUAAAAUGUGUAAGGUGACGAAGCUGUUAGAUUUCAGGCCCCACAAGCCAGAAAACAUGAAGUCCUACAUCUGUGUGAAAUCAUUGGUAUCCUUAGAUGAAUACAAGAAGGCUGGCAUUGUGCGUAUACCAAGACAGCGGGAGGGCUGGAAAUUGAAAAGGUGGGAGGCGUGGGAGCACAAGCUUCGCAACAAGGAGGAAAUGUGGAACAAUAUUUAUGAACUGGAGCAUGGGAGAAUGGAAUUUUCACAAACUAUGGCUCUGAGAUUGAAGCUGCUGCUGCCACGAAUACCGGAUGAGGUGACUCGUCAGCAAACAUCCUUGAAAAUCAGUCAAAUAAUUCCAUAUUUUCCAGAUCAGCAGGCAAGGUCCCUCCGGCGGCUUAAUUGUGUGGAUCAGAAGCGGGAUUUUGAUGAUUUAGAUGCUCGUAUGGACAAGUAUAAGGAUAUAUGCGAGGCUAUCUCUCAGACAAUGGAUAUCAUCUUCAGUACGCUACAAAGUUGUAUACAGGUUCAGUUUCUCUUAAUAGCCGGCGUGGCAGCAGCGACUUGCCGGUGGCCUUGUUCGUGAUGUCGGCGGCGGUGACCUCCAGGCUGCCUCUGACCACCGAGUAUGAGCGCCUCGAGGAGUUGAGGUUGACGUUGCAUGGUGCUUCACGCUGGCCAACUUUGCCCUCCCGCCCAAGGAGACCGUCGGCGUCGCGAGGCUCGUCGAGCACCACGGCUUCGCAGUCACGCUCGUCACCUUCACCGUCGAGCUCUGCUGGUUUAGAAUUUCUUACGUGGAAUUACUACACCUUCUACCUUGUGGAUCUUCAUUACCCGGGUGUGUUUGGACAUCAGGAAUUCAGGACUAAGGGCCUUUCUUGGGUUGGAAUGGGAAUCUGGGUUUGGGAAAUCGGCUGCUGUUACCUGAUCGCUUCCCCUGCCUCAUUCAGCCAUUUCUCCAAAAAUCUGGAAAGAAAGAUUCAACAAUGAGCUAAGCUCGAAAUCCUCUCCGGUGUAUCAAUUGACAAUUCAGCUAAAGUUUCACAAGCAUCAACACCAAGCAAACGAAGAGUCGAUGGGUACUUCGUGUUCAAAUGCCGGCAUCAUUUCACAGAAUCAUGGUGACAACGAAGAUAUGGAGACUUGAAACUUUAGAGCUUAUGGUGUGCGAUAUGGCAGCUUCAGGUUCUAUGUUGACUUGAUCACGCUGGCAUGCGAGCUAUGCUGGAAGAAGUUACAAGUCCCUGUUUCAGACCCCUUAGUCUGUUCUUUUUCUUUUUCUACUUUCGCAUGGAACUAUUUGUACUGUGGGGCGGUUUCUUUAAUGGAAAUCGGUGAGGUGUGCCCACUGGGUCAUUUUUUUUAGAGCUUAUCAUGACAUUCUUCUUAGCUCGCUCGAGCGAUUGUUUAGGUCUUCCCUGUAAACGACUGAUUUCUGCAGCUCCAUAUGUGUUGUUAUGUUUCUUUUGAAUCUAUAUAUACUUAUGGCAUAUUUUUAGUCCGUGUGAUUUGGUUAACA